AAAAGCCGAGAGAGAAGAAGAGAGCAUGGGAGAGAAGAACCGUGAGAGAGAAGGGGAGAAGAGAGGGCGGCUGCCCUUGAGGAAGAAGAAGAUGGAGAAGAAAAUCACCAUGGAAGAAAGAAGAAAGAAGAAGCAAAGGUAUAACUUUUCUCUCUCUAAUCUCUUUCUAUGGAAUUUUUAUGAAAUGGAUUUUUGAUUUGGGUGUAUAAAACCCUAAGAUAUAUGUGUUUUUAUUUGAUUCUAGUAUGGAUCCACCCAUGAUGGGUGUUGAUUUGGUUGGAAACCAAAAGGAAAAGAAAAAUAAAUUUUCUAGUUUUGAAAAUCGAAAUUUCUAUAUACUUUGAAUGUUUACCGUUUUAAAUCUAUAAUUUUUUUUUCUGAUCCGUCAAAAAGUAGUGCUAGAUGUAUGUGUUGGCUAGUAAACCCAAGUGGUAAAACUCAAAAAUCACGUUUCUAAAAGUCGUGGUGUUGAUUUAUGUGAAAACAGUCCCGGUUUUAGGGACAGUUUCGGAUCAGUCAAUGGCAGGGGCAAUUUCGUCCAGUUUUUUUUGUGCUUUACAACUUUUGGGCUUUUGAUAUGUUGUAGUACACUUAUUAAGCUUUCCAUAGACUCCAGAACGGACUAAUUCCGACUCCGGAUGAGGUAGUUAUGAUGUUCGGAAGGAGCGUAAUAAAACUGUCCAACCAAUCCCGAACAGCCUCCUUUGUUUAAAUUUUUGGACUGACAUGUUCGGAUUUUGGAAAAACAUCGUGAGACAAAAGUUGUAGCCCUAGAAGUUAUCUUCACGUGGGCUCAAGAAUCGCUCAAAAAUAUUUUGAAACGAAGAAGUUAUGACUGUUUUAGCGCAAUAGGGUCAAGCUAGAAAACUAUUAAAAACUGUUAUGACAGAGCAUUUUUGGAGCUUUGUUUGGACUGUUUAAAGUUUCUGAAAUGGGUGGGUAUACAACCUAUAUAAUAUUCAAACUUUCAACAUAAACGAAUCAAAGUUACGAGGAAUGAGAAGCUAUCAAAACAAGAGCUAAGAAGUAGGGGCUGCUACCUGCUAUAGAAGUGUUUGGUGAGCCAUUUUUGGCGUUGUGAUGCAUUUUGAUUAUUUACCCAUAAAUUUUGGGUUAUUAUUUCUAAAUAAAUGAGUGUAUAAGAUCUAUAACAUAGUUACAAUGUAAUAUAAUUGAAUCUACAAGCUAAAAGCUAAGCUUGGGGCUGUUGAGCCAAGUUUGGGUUGCUAUUAUUUUAUGGGGCUGUUUAGUAUUGCUUGGAAACAUGAUGGGUUAAAAAAAAAUAAAAAAAAUAAUAAAAAAAUUGAUUGUGUGGUCAAUGGGAAUAUUUAAAAUAUAACUGUACAAGUUAUAUGGCAUGUUUGUGUGGUUAAUAUGUUCAUAUAUAGUGAAAAUACAACUAUUUGCAAAAAAGAAAAGUAAAGCGAAAGUGUUAGCGGGAUAAAAUACAAUAAUUCGAGUUGACUCAUGAACAGGUAAAAUAAUUAUAUAAAAAUUAUUUAUAUUAAAGGAAUAAUAUAGUAAAUUGAAUUUUACUAUAAAAGCUAUUUAUUAGCUGUUUAAGUCCUGAAUUAAUGAGUAAAGACAUAAGAUAUUCCUAAAGCGGAAUAUAAGUGAUUGAAUCUUCAAAGUGUAAAAUAUUUAUAUACUCAAAUGUGAGGGACCUUUAUUUGGUUUAGAAAGGUUAAAAUGAAUUAAGUUUCUAAUAAACUAAUAUUCAUUUUGAGUAAGAAUAAGUAAUAUUAGUUUGUAUAAAACUAAUAAUUGUUAUUGAUGAAUAUACAUGCAUGUUUUGUAACAUAUUCGAUUAUCUAAUAUGUGUGUGCAUGUAAAUAUAAUUCUGUAGGAAUUGUGGAGAAACUCUAAGUUAAAUUUUGUGGUAAUCUCCAAUCAAGGCAAGUUUUUCGGUUCUAUGAUGCUUGUGGAUUAAAUGUGAUUAUGUGGUGAGUUACAUACCAUACUUUAUGAAUUGUUAAAAUCAAAAUAUGACUAAGUUAAUUGGGUUAUGGAACUCAAUUUAUAUGUGAUAUGUGAUAACACGUGUUGUAUAAUGUAACUCGAUAAAUUAGAAAUGUAUAAUGCAUGAAUGUAUGCUUUGUAAGGAAUUAUUGUUGCAUGUAGGAUAUGCAUAGUAAAGAAUACAUGUUGCAGGCAGAUAUGCAUAAUAAAGGAAAUAUAGUGCAUAUGAAAUUGUGUGCUAUGUGAAACAUGAUAGACUGUUAAAUUUGCUGGGCUGUCGAGCUCAAUCUUGCAAACACAAACUUUUUGCAGGUUAAUGAUGUUAGGCAAUAUUACUUGCUAUACGGAUGAUGAAGAUUGAACGAUGUGCAAAAGUGAAUACAUUUCCUUGAAUUAGAAAUGGUAUAAAUCUAUGAUUGAUAGUUUUGUCAAAUAUAAUUGGCAGCUAUGUACGGUUUGAAAUGUUGAAUGAAUAAAGAAUGUUUAUUCUGAAAUGAGAAUAGAUAUGAUUCUAAAAUAAAUGAAUCAUCGAUAGAAAAGAUAUGAAGUAUUGAGACUUAAGCUUUUAAUACAUUUGCACAGAUUAUACAAAUCAUAUAAUAAAUAUGUUUCUAGUAUAAAGAAGAAUUAUAAAGGUUGCGAUUCAGGGAAUGAAUGAAUGGAAGAAAAGAAAAAAAUAAAAAAAAUUUAUUCCGCAUUUUUAGCUAUUUUCACAUUAAAUAAUGUUUUAAAGCUAGAACAAGAUAAUAUUAACGCACAAGAUCGGGGAGAGAAAUUGUCCCGAUUUUGGGGGCGUUACAGUUGGUAUCAAAGCUGUAGGUUAUAAACCUUAGGUAGGUGUACCUUAGGCUAUAACCGCGAAGAUGAUAAGUAAUAAACUCGAAUAGAGUUUAAUCGAUAAGAGAUGAAUUUUUGGAAAUUCAUUAUUAAAGUAAAGAGAAAGAUAAAGAAGAUUCAAAGAAGAAUCUUAAAGAGCUAUAAAGAUAAUAAUCUGGAGUUACCUAACUCCAGUAAUAAAGAUAAAAAGUGAUACUAAAUAGACGAUGUCUAUAAGAUGAAAAGUGCAAAUAAAAUCAUAAUAUAAUAUGAUUAAAGAGAAGAAUAAGAAGAUCGUAAAAUAAAACGAUCGUAAGCAUAAGGAGAAAUGAUUACAAAAAUAAGAUCACCACGUGAUCAGGUUAAAUCAUUGAAUAACAUAUGAUAUGUUAAGUGAUUGGCAUGAUAUAGCUUGAUGCUAUAAAGAGAAGGUACUGUGAAAUGGUACAAUGUAAACUCAGAAAAGAGUGGUAAAUGUUAAGAUACGGAUUAAAGAAAAUUUGUAUUAAGAAAAGAGAAAGUUAAGAGUAUGUGGGUUUCCAAUUGAGGACUCAGGUCAGCAGCUGAGUUGUAUGAUUCUUUGUAUGGGCGGGAAAUUUGUACUUGGUUUUAGAAUCACUUAGCUUCCUGGUCGAUAUAGUGGUUAGGUUGACUAAUUCUUUGUAUGGGCGGGGAAUUGUCCGUUUAGCUUCCUAUAUUGAUUAGUGGCCGAGUUUGGUUUGACAACCACUUAGUUUCUGACAUUGAUAAUCAUUGGAACCUAAUGUCACGCUAUUUGCUAUAUGCAUGUUGAGAAGGUGAUUCUUUUCUUAUGUGUAUAACGAAUAGGUAGAGAAUAUAAGGUUAGUUGCGAGUUCUUAAAACUCAUACUUAUGGUAAGUUCAUGACUCAUAAUCAUAUGGUAUGUUUUGAACCCCUUAGCGAAUGGACGUCUAUGGUCUGACUAGGAUAAGUUCUUAAACUCAUAUGAUUGUGGCAAGUUCCUGAACUCAUAAUGUGUGGUAAGUUUGAUGGACUGGGGGUAUAGCAAAGUUGUAAAUGGAGAAUUGAGGAUUAUAUGAAUAGAUAGAUUUAUUAAGUAAUGGAUUAAUAGAGAAAGUGAAGUUGAUGAUGUAAACAUAGGUAUUCCAAAUCUUCUAGCUAUGCUAGAUUUCAAAGUUUUUGACAUCAAGCUAAAUACGCACUAUGUGCUUUUGAAAAAUGAAUUACCUUUUCCCGCAUUCACACUCCCUAUAUCCAUUCUCCUUUUUGGACAGUCCUUCACCUUAUGCUCCGUGGAUCCACACAGAAAACACCCAUUGUUCAUCCUAGGAUUGGGACAGUUAGGAGAGAUAUGUCCCUCCUGCCCACACUUAUAGCACAAAAACUUGCUUUUAAGACACUCACCUGAAUGACUCUUUCCACAAUUCUUACACUGUACAGCCUGCUUUUUCACACCUUCCUGCUUGACCUGGACACUCCCAACAUUGCUCCACUUCCUUUUUUCACCCCUACUUCCACUACCUACUUCUGCCUUCCCAGCUCCCUCACCCUUAAUCUUUCUCUCCUUAUUGUAGACACUCAUGGCUUCACUUCCCCUUUCAGCUAUGAUAGCCUUUUCUAAGAGUGUGGCAAACGUAUUGAUCUGCAACACCGCCACCUUAUUGUAGAGCCAUGGUUUUAGGCCUAGCUCAAACCCUCCUUGCCUUUCUAGCCUCCAUAUCUACUUGGUGCGGAGCGAACCUAGCUAAUUCAUUGAACUUUGCGGCAUACUCCGCAACUAUCAAGUUCUCCUGCUUCAAUUCCAAAAACUUCACCUCCAUCCUAGCCUGCACACUAGCCGAGAAAUAGUUCUCAAAGAAUAGCGUCUUAAACCUAGUCCAUGCUAUCACUACAUCUCCUGCCCUAGCUUGAUUCUCCUCCCACCAGAAAUUCGCCUCUCCCUUCAUCAUAUAGGUGGCAAAAGCUGUCUUUUGCCCCUCAUCUACCCUAGCGACUACAAAUGCUUUUUCUAUUUCUUUAACCCAAGUUUGGGCUUCUAUUGGGUCAGUAGUACCUCUAAAUUCUGGCAGUCAUACGGCCUUAAAAUCCUUGAAGUUCGCAAAUCGAUUGUCUCGCUGAUUUCCCGCCGCUGGCAUUCCAUUCUGCAUGGCCUGAGCUACCAUGUUCGCAAAAUUCUGCAUCAGGUUUGGUUGUUGUCCUCCAGCAUUGUUGACAGAUUCUUCUGCCCUUUGGUUUCCAAUUCGACGUCUUGGCGGCAUUUUUUGGUUAAAUAAAAUAAAAUCAAUAAUUUAUUAACUUACAUUCUAAACUAUCGUAUAAGUUUAAUAUUUAAAACUUAUUCAAGUAAUCAAACAUAGAUUCAUAUUCAUUUAACUAACUCAUAGUACAUAUCAUAGCACAUUCUGCUUUAAACAUCCAAUAUCCCUUUGUGACCACAAAAGUCGGGAAUCGCUACCACAACUUACACCAAAGUUGGGAUUAUUAUAAUAAACACGUACAUUACCAAACAUACAUAAUCAAAUACUAAUUCUACCUAUUUCCUAAACCUCUUUCCUGAUUCUGGACAACCUUUCGCUUGAUGACCUUCCAACCCACAAAUAAAACAUGCACCUUUCUUAAAGUCGAGGCAAUGAAGAGAGGUAUGUCCCUCACGGCCGCAAAUAUAACAUAUCUUUUUCCCUUGCUUAUUAUUAGAUUUUCCUAAGUCAUGGUCUUUUAUCUUUCUUUUCCCCUUCUCGCUCGGAGCUGCACACAAUGUGUUGCUUUUGGCUCCCAUCUGAUCAAUUUGGAUCUUAAGCUUAUCUUGUUCUUCCAUCGUUUCGAUUAAUGCCUUUCCCAAUUGACUAUUUAGUAUCUUUUCUAUCUCCCACAACUUUUCUAGAGAAGAAACCUUGUUCCUCAAAUUCUGCACUUCAGUUGAUGCUUGAUCAGCUCCAACUUCGGUGUCCAAAUCACUAUCUGUUAGUUCCAUUAUUUCUGGGUCCAGUACUAUAUUUUCCAAAAUGAUCACCUCAUCUAGGUUAUCUUCAACAUGAGCCUCUAUUUCAGCUAUUGGCUUUGAUAUUGUCUUGGUUAUGGAGAUUGGCUUCUUCUUUACGAUCUUAGGGUAUCCUAAUCCUUUUCCUCCUGACAUCUACACAUAAAUUAUCCCGAUUAGCAUAUAAUAUAUACACACAGCAAGUAAAAGUUUUAUAUAAGUUACCUUUUAUUUGGUUUGAUGACGAAUUAUUUGAUUCAUCUCCUUUUAAACUCUAUAUGAGUUAUUUGUAAUUUCAACAUUUUCCUCUACUCUAAGUUUAUAGCCUAAGGUCUACCCCCCACCUAUGGUUUCUAACCCUUAAGCUCUGAUACCAACAUGUGACGCCGCCAAAUUAAGGUACUUGAAACCCGAAUUCAGUGCCUCACGAUACCAUUUCUUUGAGCGAAAUAAUAAUAAUUUUGUCAUAAAUAUCAAACUUAAUUUACAUAUCAGAGUUGUCUAAAUCCCAGGUACGCGAGCUUAAAACAUUUCAUUACAUGAUAGAUAAUAAAUAUGAUCAUCUUAUUUAAGUUUAGCUAUUACAUAAGAUAACACAAACUUAUUCUGAAAGCUUUCCUUUCCCUUUGCUCCUGGCAGAGCCCUCUGGUUGGUCAUACUUAACUGAAAACAUUUAAAUUAAGCAAAAAUGAGCAUUUGAGUGCCCAGCAAGUAAUAGCAAAUAAUAAACAUUAGCUGAAAGGAUUAAAUGUUCUCUUUGAGUGACAUUUCUACAACGAAGCAAUAGUUGUGAAGUAAUUGAAACAAUUCUAAUCAACAUACCAAUUCUAUUUCAAAUUUUUGAAACUACGUAUUGACUAUAAAUAGAGAUCAGUCGACAGACUAUGAACAUUGUUUUCUAUUUUCGAAAAGGUUUAACAGAACUUCAUCUAUAAACCGUCAUAACUUACGGGCACGGGGGGUGAUCAGCCCGUUAUGCCCUGUAUUGAUCAAUACUACAUACCAGAACGAUAUUCUCGUUCAUCAUAACCGCCUUGGGCGCACAAAAGUUUCCCAGAUUUGGGAUGUUCAUACUUAGCCUGAAUCCAAACCAAAACAAUUUGGUUGGAUAUCAUUAGGGUUCUAUCAUGUUCAAUGAUAUUCUUAAAUAUGUGUCUUGCCUAGUCAAAUAGCUUAGACGACUUUUAAUUAAGAUAUACAUACUGGAAAUCAACAUCCAUUAACAUGUACAAUAAUUAUCCAAGUGAGGACAUUUGUAUAACCAUACUUAGAAUUUAAUGAACAUAAUAUAUAUAUAUAUAUAUAUAUAUAUAUAUAUAUAUCUGAAUCUUAUAGUAAUACGGUACUGAUAAACAAUGAACGAAUAAAGUUUGGAACUUGUAUGAAUAUAAAUGAUUGGAUACAUAAUCAAUAACAAUAGAGUUUAAUAAUCUAGCAUAAUGAUAAUAUAAUUCUGAAAUUUUCUUACUCAUGUCCAUUUCAUAAAGUAAAUGCAAAGGUUAGGAUUCUUGCUCAAGUAAAAGAGGAAGAAUUUAGGAACUUGCACAAUAAGAGUAGGGUUCAGAUACUUGCUCGAUAUAAAUUUGAGUAAGGUUAGAGAACUUGUCUGGUCUGCUGCUUACACAACUUAGUUCUAUCUUUAAUUCAACGACCUAUCAUUUAUAAGGUUGUUCUAUUGAUUAGAAUAACAUAUCAUAACACAUCAUAAUGUUAUUUAUAGUCAAUACAUAACCUAAUCACAUUGUCACAUAGUUAUAUCAGUCAUUAAGACACAAACAAACACUUAUACAGUCAAACUAUAUAGGUUUGGAUCAAUUUUGAUAACAUUUUGGUGUACCGACGGCUUUAUCGAAAAAAUAUCGAGUUUAAAACUCUAAUCUAUAUCUUAAAUACUAUUCUGGAUAAUUAAAUAUCAAUCAUAUUAUUUAUAAAUGAAUUAUAAUAAUUUAUAAUUAAUUAUUAUAAUUUAUCAUAAUUUUUCAAACUCUGGAAUCAUUUAUUAAAUGAUUUAAAUAUUAUAGAAUUCUAUUAUCAUUAAUAUUUAAAUAAUAUCUAAAUAUUAAUAAAACCAUUUAUAAUAACUCAAAAUAUUUUUAAAGUAUUAAUAUUACCCUUAAAUGAUUUUUAAAACAUUAAAAAUCAUUUUUAAACAAUUAUCAUUAAUAUUUAAAUAUUAAGGUAUUAUUUAUCAAACUAUUAAAAGUCAUUAAUUAUAACUUAAAAUAUUUUUUAAUUUAUUUAUAUCCUUUUUAAAUCAAUAAAACCAUUUUAAAACUAUUUAUUUAAUAUUAUUAUUAAAUAAAUCUAAUAUCAUUAAAAUUAAAUAAUUAAUGAAAUUUACCUUAAAAUAUUAAAAGUUAUAUUUUAUAACUUAGAAUAUCUUUAAACUCUUUAUUUUUAUUUAAAAUAAUUUUUAUAAUAUUAAAAUCAUUUUUAAACUAAUUUAUUUAAUAUAAUUAUUAAAUAAAUCUAAUAUCAUUAAUAUUAAAUAAUUAAUGAAAUUUGCUUUAAAAUAUUAAAAGUUACAUUUUAUAACUUAAAAUAUUUUUAAAUACCUUAUUAUUUAAAAUGAUUUUUAAUAUAAUAAAAUCAUUUUUAAUUAAUUUAUUUAAUAUAUUUAUUAAAUAAAUUAAAUAUCAAUAAUAUUCAAUUAAUUACUAAUAUUUAUGGAAAAUAUGUCAAAUUAUUAAAAGUUAAUUUUUAUAACUUAAAAUAAUUUUUAAAACUGAUUUUGUAAUUUUUAGAAUUUAUUUACUAUUUUUAAAUGAUUUUUAUAAAUUAAUAUAAUUAAAAUUAAUAAGUCUGUCGCUAUAGCCUUUAGCGACAGUAAGUGUCGCCUUAGGUGUUUUUGAGGCUCAAGAACACUGACAGACAGUGAUCAAGGUGUCUUGUUUGACUACCUCAUAAUCUCUGUCUAAACAUGAUUUGAGCUAACUAAGACACUGACAUUGUAGUAUUGUUGUAACACUACAAGAUCCAACUAUCAUCUAAGUCAUAACUCAUCACAACAAGGAGAUCUAGCCCAUCAAACUCACUGUCAGAGCUUCCUAGGUUUUCUGGGUUACCCAGAAACCCAGUCAGCUUCGAGGGUACACUUUGAGGCUUAAACAUAUUAGGGUUCUGGUUGAUAUUAUGGUGAUAUAAUGGGUCUAACCUGUAGUAUACAUGGCAAAGUACAUGUAACACUCCUACCAUCAGCUAAACUACACCAUAAUCAGAAGCUAGAACCCCGUCAAACCAUGUCAGAAUUAACGGUCUUAAGUUUUCUGGGUUUUCCAAAAAACUGUGUUCGUGAUCAAGCAAGCUAGUUUGACCAACCAUUACUUUCAGUCAAUUGAUCAUUCGAGUGAUAUAAAGGCACAUAUCUAAAGCCCAUAUAACAGGCUAUAACAUAGAUACAAAAACAUCAUCAACACACAUAAAAUCUGACAGUUAUUAGUCCUUGAAAAUCUUGUUAGACGUGGUUAAAGGAUUUCUGGGUUUUCCAGAAUUCAUCUGGUCAUGCCCGGUCAACGAGUUUUGACCAAAAAUAACAUGAAAUUUACAUAUUGUGACAACCCGAAAAAUUUCUAAAAUCUUAAAUGAUUAGAAUAAAGGUUAAAGAAUAAAACCUAGAUGGGAAUUUGAGGAUUUAUUUAAAUUUUUCAAGUAAAACCUAUAUGGUUUGAUAUUCGAAUGAGAAUAGAGAAAAUAUGGGUUAUAAAAUUUCUAAACCCUAGAAAUGAAUUAAUAUGUACUUGAAGGAAUAUCAAGAAUAAGGUAUUAUGAUACCUGUAAAUUCGAUGUGAAUGGAAUAGUCUAAGAAAUGUUUUAUAAGUACAUAUGGAAAUUUUAUUAUUGGAGAUAAGAUUUCACAUGAAGAGAUGCUAUGAGGUUAAACGAAGAUGAGUAUAUGUAUAGAAAUAUAUAUACUUAGUAAGGUGCUAUAUAUUUUAGCAAGAAGAAUGAUGAAUUAAGUUAAUGAUAUAAUGAUCAAGAUAAAACUAUGUUAGUAAUUAACAUAGCUUGAGUGUUGGCCUUGACUGGAAAAUAAGAAUUUGAAGAAGUAUAAAGUCGUUAGUUAAUACGAUUAAUAAUGAGAAAUGAGUAAUUUAAAACUCAAAAUUUGAGUUAGAGAUAGAAUUUUGAAGCAUGGACUGCUCGGUUGCNNNNNNNNNNNNNNNNNNNNNNNNNNNNNNNNNNNNNNNNNNNNNNNNNNNNNNNNNNNNNNNNNNNNNNNNNNNNNNNNNNNNNNNNNNNNNNNNNNNNAUAUCAUAUAUACAAUAAUCAUAUUUUCAUGGAAAAUAAAUAAUAAAUAUUUUUAUUACAACAUAAUUUUAUUAUAAGAAUAUAAUCUAUAAUGAUCAAUAGUUCUAAAAAGAAAUUAGUUACAUCUAAUAAAUAAUUUUAUUUAUCAGAUAUAUACAUAUACUUUACUUUGCACAUAUUCCCACCCUUAUCUAUAUAAAAAAAUUAUUCGCAAAAUUUCUUAUUGAAAAUAUUGGGUUAUUACAUCCACCCUCCCUUAUAAGGAUUCCGUCCCCGGAAUCACCGCUUUAAAACCUAUAGACACUACGGAAAAUAGCAUACGCAGUCAUUUUAAGUAGAUCUCGAUCAGAUUUGAUCGAACUGAUCUUUAACUACUCAACAUAAAGCUUGUCUAUCUAAUUCUACGGAAAUUUGAUUUCUAACAGAACCCAAAUUUCUCCUUCAAAAUUUCUUUAUAACAUAAUUUACUUAUAUUUAAGAAAAAUCAUAUAUAUGAAAAUACAAUUCAUACGAAUAAUACCUGAAGUUCCAUCCUCGGCUGCUACGGUAUCCUGAACCAUCAUGUUGAAGACUCUUGCAAUUGAUUUCAUCGAAGUUGGUCCCGUUAUCGCCAUUGUUCCACUGCCUUUUCCCGCAUUCACACUCCCUAUAUCCAUUCUCCUUUUUGGACAGUCCUUCACCUUAUGCUCCGUGGAUCCACACAGAAAACACCCAUUGCUCAUCUAACACAACUUUAAAGAUCAAAUUUCUAGGGUUAGGUUUAUACCUCUUAUGAACAAAAUCUUGAAUCUGUCUUCUUGAUCUGUUAUGGGUGGACUUGGGACUUGAUUAGGGACUGGUCUAGCAAGAGAAUUUCGGAUGUUUGAAGUUGAGAGGGUUUUGGUUAACUGUUGUAAGUAAAAUGAGCUAAUUUAUGCAACUUCUAUCUCCUUAAUCUUAUAUAAUACUUGAAUCUAAUGUACUUGUGAUGCAAGAUGGCUGAGAUUUUUGGUUUAUAGGCACAUGGCUAGGUUGAGUUGGUUUACCAACUAAAGUUAUGGCAACCUAUACAAGUUAUCUAUUAAAUAAUAUAAGAAGGGCAAUUUGGUCAUUUGGUUUUUACUUUUAGUGGCAAAGUUGUCAAUUCAUUCUAACCCUUAGGGUUUAACUGUGAUGCCCCCAAAAUAGGUAUACAUCACCCAUCUUGGGUCGCCAAAUACAUGGUACAGAAUACAAAUACAAACUUAAUUAUACAACAUGAGCUGAGAGUUUUUACACGAAUAUUGUCUUCUAGACAAUAUCAAAACUUAAAUAGUGUCCUCAUUACAUUUAUUGGCACACUAUUUAAUAGAAUAUUGAGGACUAUUAUAACACCAUCUCGGGCCAUCACUCCGUUCCCCGACUAGUUCCGGCUACGUUCUCAUUUCCUGAAGAGAACAAUGGAAGUAAAAGGGUGAGCUCAACUAGCCCAGUAAUAAAUAUUAUGACUAAGAUAAUGCAGAAUAAAUUAUCAUUAGCCUUCAACAAUGUUAAACUAAUAGAAUAUAAUAGACAACAAGUUUACCUGCAGCGGAACAAACAAUCCAUUAAAAGAGUCAAGUAGAACAUGAUAUCUACUAUCUUCUAUGAUUUAAAAAGUUUAUCAUUAACUUUAUUGCUGGGACUCAUCUUUGUAAAUAGAUCACAUCAUUGAAUCAUCCCUGCACUACGGGCCAAGGAUAUUCAUUAGUAUCACGUCCACAAAUUAUUCUUGCACUACGGGCCAAGAAUUAUUCAUGUAAUCAUCAAUGGUCAUGACUAUACCGAAUUAUCCCUAUUUAUAACCAUACCAAUCAAUAGUCCAUCUAUGCACGUAAGCCAAAGAUGACUUUCAUCACAAUAUAAGAAUGAGGAUGAUGACAAUGAUAUAAGAAUUCAAUUAAAAGAAAGUAAAGGAUAAAUUUUUAAAGAUUUAUAAUUUAAUUUAUCCAAAAUUCAAUAAUGUCCAAAUUUUCAACAUGAUAUUGCUUUGUAGAGUAAAAUUCAAGAAUAAUAUCCAUGUAUCAAAAAUAAUUUGGACAGAAAAGAAAUAAAUUUUUCGGUGAAUAAUACCCCGUGAAUAGUAUCCUGUGAAUAGUACUUCGAGAAUAGUACCCCAUGAAUAGUAACUCGUGAAUAGUACCCCGGUAUGAAAAGUGCCUCGAAUACCCGAGUGAAUAAUAUUAUAGUGAAUAGUAACUGGCUGAAUAGUAACCCGUGAAUCGUAACUCAUGAAUAGUACUUCGGGUGAAAAUAUUGAUAUUUAAUAAGAAAGUUCGUAUCAAUAUUCCAAUAAAAUGAUACUGGAUGAAGCGCAAAACUCACGGAUAUUCCACUAAUUUCAAAGAUUAUAGAAGCAAUACUUACCAUAAUAAGUUUAGAUUUAAGAAUAUGAAAAGAAAUAACAUACGAAACUGUAAAUGGAUUUUCACCUGUCAUAUGGUACGUAAUCCGCGUAGACAGAUUAUUCCGACAUAUUAAAGGAUGAAUACAAAAAAUAGUAUUCCUUAUGAAUACAAAAGAAAUAAUACACCUUACCUUAGUAGAAAGCUGAAUACUGCAAAAGUGAAGUAGCAGAAUACUCUUCUUCUUGCUUUCUAUAGUUUUUCUCUCUAUAGUGUCUCUUGUGAAUCUUAGUGAAUUGGUGAGAAUGAAAGAAGAAUUAAGCUUCUAUUUAUAGGAGAAUGGACUAAAUAGUAACUAAUUCAUGAACGGUCCAGAUUAAUUCACUAUUUGAACGGACAGUCCAUAUUGAUUACUAUUAAAACCACCACCGACGGUCCAGAUUGAUUUACUUUUAAAACCACCACCGACGGUCCAAAUUGAUGUACUUUUAAAACCACCAUCGACGGUCCAGAUUGAUUUACUUUUAAAACCACCAUCGACGGUUUAGAUUGAUUUACUUUUAAAACCACCAUCAAUGGUCCAGAUUGAUUUACUAUUAAGACCACCAUCAAUGGUCUAGAUUGAUUCAACUUAUUAUUACACUUUAGUACCCCUAAAGUUUUCCAAGUUUGCAUUAUUCCUCUUUAACUUUUGUAAUUCACUUAUCUUCAAUAAACACAUUCUUAAUACUUCAACAAUUAUUCAUCAUUAAUAUUAUAACUCAUAAUAUUUAACAACCAGAUCGUUCCCAGGAAAGAGGGGGCUUUCCAAUAAGGAUUUCUCCCUAUUGGCACACAAUUAGGUGACCAAACCUCUCCUCGACAGAACUUUCUAGGCAUUGUCAAAAUAAUAAUAUGAAUAACUUUGUUGUAUCAAUUAUUGAUUUAUUAAUAUAAAAUAUUAUGCAGAUGAUAAUGUGACAAUAAUUGAAUCAAAUAACGUGAGAUACUAUGCAACAAUUACAGUAGUAAUAAUUGAGUAUAAAUGAGUGACUUCUCACGUAAGCAUCAAUAAUCAAUACCGUGUGCUACUAUGCAACAACGCAUAUUACUAUACAUUUACCACCGGGUAGUUCAACAGUUUAACGGUAAAACUUCUGUUGUUAUUUUUAUAAAAAGAUAUUUCUAUCGUUUUUUAACUACGAUAAUACUUCCGUUGUAGGGUCCACUAAUGAUUGUACCGUCGUACGAAUAUUCCCUGUUAAAAUGAAUAUUCCCCGACCAAUCGAAUAUUAACUGACACAACGAAUAUUUUAUAUCAACUUGCUUAUUUUGCAAAAAUUUUCAAAUAUUACCCACAACUAUAACAUUAUAUCAUAUCAACACCAUAAUAUUCAAAAAUAUAUUUCAAAAAAAAUUAUUCUUUAUUCAAAAAAAAAAGUUGGGGUCUUACAACCUCCCCUUCAUAUAAAAUUUCAUCCUCGAAAUUAAGGUACGUACCUAAUAUGUCGAAGAGGUGAGGAUACCUUGAUUUUAUUUUAGAUUCUAACUCCCAGGUCAUUUCCUCCACAUCGUGGUUUCUCCAUAAAAAUUUGACUUGAGGUAUAACCUUGGAGCGUAGAAUAUGAUCCUUCUUAUCCAAGAUUUUAACAGCUACCUCUUCAUAUGUUAAAUCUUCCGCUAUCUCGUCCGGUUCUAAUUCAAUAAUGUGGUUCGGGUCUUUCACAUAUUUAAGUAACAUAGAUAUAUGAAAAACGUUAUGAACACAACACAUACUUGGCGGUAAGGCGAGUCUAUAGGCCACAGUUCUUACUCGAUCAAGGAUUACAAAUGGGCCAAUGAAUCGAGGAUUGAGCUUUCCUCUCUUUCCAAAUCUCGUAACUCCUUUCCAUGGAGCAACACGUAACAACACAUGAUCUCCAAUAUUGAAUUCCACGUCCUUUCGAUGAAGAUCAGCAUAACUCUUUUAUCGAUCUUGUGAGGUUUUUAUACGUUGUCGGAUCGUUUGAAUAUUUUUCGUAGUCAUACGUACCAACUCCGGUCCCAACAAUGUUACUUCACCUACCUCAUCCCAGCAUACUGGAGAACGACACUUUCUUUCAUACAACACCUCAAAUGGAGCCAUGUCAAUACUCGUUUGAUAACUGUUGUUGUAGGAAAACUACACCAAUGGUAAGUGUAAUAACCGUGAAUUUUAAGUCACUAUAUAUGUAUGUACAUUAUUGAUAUUUAAAACUUUGUGUUAUAUAGUGAUUUAAUAUGUGACAACAUAUGUGAAGUGGUGUAUGAUUCAAUAAACAUAUAUACUAUAGUUAUGGAUAUAUAAAUUUAUAGAUUUCAUUAAAAAUGAAAGCUUCAUAACCUAAUUAUACAUUAGGUGAGACAAUUAAAUAACCUAAGGGUUAUGGUAUUAAGGAAAUGUUAGUAUUUAAUAUGUAUACUAACUUAAGUGGAUAAUCUUGUUAUUUCAAGUGACUAAUAAUUUUAAACUUAUUUCUAGUAAACCUAAUUAGGUUAUGAGCAAAAGUCACAUGUAUAAGUAAUUAAAUUUCAUAAGAUUGGGAAUGGAAAUCCUAAAUAAACAAUUUGGAUAACAUAUAUUAAAAUUGUUAGACUAUGUUUAUUACAUGGCCCAAAACAAUUAAAGGAGAAGCCCAAAAGAAAUAAAAUACAAACCAAUGCUUAGCCCACUUGAUUAAGGGUAUUUUAGACUUUUGAUUAAUCAAAUUUAUGCAUUAAAAUAAAUGCAAAAUGGAGGAGAUAUUGGGGCAAGGGAGACCGGCCAUAUUAGGCCAUUUAAGGCAACAAAAUUAUGUUUAUCAAGUUCCUUAAUUAGUAACUCUUACAUCAAGUACAAGUGUGUCCAUCUCCCAUUGGUUGAAAAUCUACUUAGCGCCCUUAAUCACAUGAUUAGGCUUAAUUGAAAGAGAUAAGGCAAAGCCUUUUCUCCAAGGGACAACAAAAGUAUGGGGGAUAUUAGUUAAAUCACUCAUUUCAAUUACUAGAUUUUUUCAUUUCUCUUAUUCUCCUUCUUCUAUUUUUCUCCCAAGCUACCAAAAUACUAAGAGAGAAAAGAGAGAGAGGGGUUCGGUUUUGAGAGAGAGAGAGAGAGAGGUGUGCUAGUUGUUUAAUGCACCCUAAGAUUAUAUACUACUUUGGUAAAUCAAGGAAGGUUGCUACUAGAUCAAGGUAUAACCUAAUCUUCAUCUUCUUUUUCUAUUUUGUGUUAUAGCAUCUUUUGUUGGGGUUAUGAGCUAAUACACAAGACACCCUAGUUCUACAUAUCAUCAUGUAUGGAACUAAGUAUCUUGAGUGUUAGAUCAAAGUUUUAGAGGAAGAAAAUAAGCAUAUGUUCUCCUAGGGGUUAAACCCUUAUUUUUUUUUUGAUUUUCUUCCACUAAAUCUUGUGUAACUCAAGUUUUACAACUUGGAUUUGUGAUCUGUCAAAGGGGGGUGCAAGAUACAUGAGUUAUCUAGUAAACCCAAGUGGUAGAACACAAAUAUAGCAAUUAUUGAAGCCAUGGGGGCUAUUUUUCCCAAAAUAGUCCACAUAGUGUAUUAAAGUUUUAAAACCCUAAAAAGCUACUGUCCCCGUUUUUCUUAGGGUUGUUUCGGACAGUUUCAUAUCUUUUAAAAAUCUGGGAAAAAUCACAGAGGUACCUUAAGAAGAUAUCUAUGUGUAGGAAAAAGAACGGAUACGUUUCGAUUUAUAGGUUGUGCGUAAUGGCUAUUUCCGUAAAGGACUCCUAAAUAUUAACACCCGAAUUUCUCACAGUGUAUGCAUGGAAAAAUUCCAAAAAUUUUAUAGUAUGUUCAUAUAUGUUAUGAGAGUAUACUCUGAAAAGUUCAGAUUUUUCUGAGCAAAACUCGAUUUAUGAAAAAUGAAGCAAGAUCCGAGUGUUUUGGGCACUUUAAAAUUAGUAAAUCAUUUUCUAAAAUUCCAGAAACAUUUGGGGAUCAUUGUUGGGUCAUAUACUGUCCAAAUCGAGAAAAGAAGAAUUUUUGAAAUCAGUUUGGUAUUUUUCCUAAAAAUGAUGAAGUUAUGAAUAAAGGAAAUAAAUAGUUAAAUGAUGUUUUAAAUAAGAAAAUUGUGAUUUUAAUGCUUGAAUACUCCUAAUAUAUAAUAUUAUGACUAUUUUAGGGCAUUUUAGUAAUUUAAAAUAAGAAAUAUUAUUUAUGACCUUUUAUGGAUAUUAAAUAAGAGGUUUUAUAAAGGGUGAACAAUUAGAAUAAAUUGUUUAUUGAGCUAAUAAAUUAUUAAAAUGUUAUUAUGAUAUUAAUAAUAUUAGAAUAUGAUAUUGUUAAGUAAAUAAAAAUAUUAAGAUUAAAACUUCAUUAAAAUAUUAUUAAAUGGUUACUAAUAUUUGAUUUAAGCAUUAAUAAACAAUUAAAGUAUUAUUAAAUGAUUAAUAAUAUUAGAUUAAAAUAUUAAUCUUAUAUUAAAAUAUUAUUAAAAGAUUAAUAAUAUUAAAUUAAAGUAUUAUUGGAUGAUUAAAAUAUUAUUAAGUAAAUAAUAAUAUUUGAGAUUAAAUAAAAUGUUAUUAAUGUAAUAACAUUAGUAAAGAAAUAAAAUAUUAUUAAAUGAUUAAUAAUAUUAGUAAAGUAUUAAAAUAUUAUUAAGUAAAUAAUAAUAUUUGAGAUUAAAUAAAAUGUUAUUAAUGUAAUAACAUUAGUAAAGGAAUAAAAUAUUAUUAAAUAAUUAAUAAUAUUAGUAAAUGAAUAAAAUAUUAUUAAAUAAUUAAUAAUAUUAGUAAAUGAUUAAAAUAUUAAUAUUAUUGGUAAAUAAUUAAAAGUAUUAUUAAUUGAUUAAUGAUACUAAAGCAUAAGUAAGAUAUUAUUAAAGUAAUAAUAUUAAUGCAUGAUUAAAAUAUUAUUAAGAGGAUUAAUAAUAUUAGUAAAGUAUUAAAAUAUUAUUAAGAUGUUAAUAAUAUUAGUAAGCGAAUAAAAGUAUUAUUAGUGAACUAAUAAUACUAAGAGGUGAAUUAAAUAUUAUCAAGAUUAAUAAUAUUAAGUGAAUUAAAGGUAGUUGUUAUUUAAUAGUAACAUUAUUGAGGCGGGAUAAUAUUUCUAAGAACUAAAUGUAACAUAUAAUAACUAUGUGAUUACAUAAUCUAAUGUUAUGUUAUGGCUAAUUGAAAGAUUAACUAUAGGUCUCUCAAAGGAAGAUAAUUAAACUGCCUAGCGGAUAGAAUUUAAUUGCGUAGCCGUAAUCUACAAACGAGACAAGUUUCCUAACUCAAACUCGAGUUAUUAUUUUCAAAGCAUGUUAGUGAAUAAUUAUUGAUGAUUAUUCACAUCUAUAAUGAUUAUUGAAAUUCGCACUUUGUGCAAUUGAAUUCAUGUUCUAUUAUUAUUGAACUGUGAAUUAAAUUAAAGUUCUUUCAUUCAUGAACUGUUUAUGAGAUAGAUCUAUGCUAAUUGUAUUAGCUAGAUCAAGCAUGUUUAAAUUUGUUAAAUCAAAUGUGUUUUAAAAAGUUGUUCUUAUUAAAUUGAUAUGAUAAGAACUCUUGACUGAAAAAAGGAAGAAUUUGAUUAAGGCAUGAUAUCGAUGCCGGAUUAUUAAGUGUUUAUGCAUAAAUCAUGGGGUAUGAAAGGCUGAUCCCCUUGAAUACCAAAACUUAUUAAGAGGUCCAGUUUAAAUGACUGAGAACCUUGGCAAAUGUUCAUGGUUAUUUCAAAACCACUCAGUUCGUGUUAUUCAAUUAUUCGAAUAUUCAAUUGUUGAUUAUUAAUUCAUGUUCCUUCAUAAUCUUAUAUUAUUGUUAAACAUUGAAAGCAAAACUUCUUUCCAGUCAUGAUAUAUCUCCCUUGUAUAUAAACUUGCUAAGAAAAUUAGUUGCUUACCCUUACUAUAUUAUGGCAUUUAUUUCAGUUAAGCUCGAAGGAUCCAAUACGAAAGACAAAGGCAAGGGCAAGAUCCAAGAAUAAUUUAGAAUGAAUGUUAGUUAUUAUUAUCUGAUGGGAUUUCUUAUGUAAACCUUUUGUAAUAUGAAUGGUGUAUUUAAGUUAAGGUUAAGAAGACCUUGGGACCAUGUUAUGAAAAUUUAUUAUAAUGAACAAUGUAUGUUUAUUA
rnacentral:lncRNA from 1 species